GGCUCAGGACGAACGCUGGCGGCGUGCCUAAUACAUGCAAGUCGAACGGUCUUUCUAUGGAAGCUUGCUUCCACUGAGAAGAUAGUGGCGAACGGGUGAGUAACACGUGGGUAACCUGCCCAUAAGAGGGGGAUAACAUCCGGAAACGGGUGCUAAUACCGCAUAGUUUCUUGAUCGCAUGAUUGAGAAAGGAAAGACGGCCUUUGUGCUGUCGCUUAUGGAUGGACCCGCGGCGUAUUAGUUAGUUGGUGAGGUAACGGCUCACCAAGACGAUGAUACGUAGCCGACCUGAGAGGGUGAUCGGCCACAUUGGGACUGAGACACGGCCCAAACUCCUACGGGAGGCAGCAGUAGGGAAUCUUCCGCAAUGGACGAAAGUCUGACGGAGCAACGCCGCGUGAGUGAAAGAAGGUUUUCGGAUCGUAAAACUCUGUUGUCAGAGAAGAACAAGUUGGAGAGUAACUGCUCCAGCCUUGACGGUAUCUGACCAGAAAGCCACGGCUAACUACGUGCCAGCCGCCGC
rnacentral:rRNA from 1 species